GUUUCCUCAAACACUUCAUU
rnacentral:miRNA from 1 species